UACAGAGGUCCCAAGCGUUGUUCGGAUUCACUGGGCGUAAAGGGUGCGUAGGUGGCAUGGCCAGUUUGAUGUGAAAGCUCAGGGCUUAACCCUGAAAUGGCAUUGAAUACUGCUGUGCUGGAGGUUUGGAGGGGGGACUGGAAUUCUUGGUGUAGCAGUGAAAUGCGUAGAUAUCAAGAGGAACACCAGUGGCGAAGGCGGGUCUCUGGACAGUUCCUGACACUGAGGCACGAAGGCCAGGGGAGCAAACGGG
rnacentral:rRNA from 1 species